UACAGGGGGUGCAAACGUUGCUCGGAAUCAUUGGGCGUAAAGCGCACGUAGGCGGUUCGUUAUGUCGGCUGUGAAAGCCCUUGGCUUAACCGAGGAAGUGCAUCCGAAACUGGCGAGCUAGAGUACGAAAGAGGAUCGCGGAAUUCCCGGUGUAGAGGUGAAAUUCGUAGAUAUCGGGAGGAACACCGGUGGCGAAGGCGGCGAUCUGGGGCGAUACUGACGCUGAGGUGCGAAAGCGUGGGGAGCAAACAGG
rnacentral:rRNA from 1 species